rnacentral:rRNA from 1 species
AGUGAACGCUGGCGGUAGGCCUAACACAUGCAAGUCGAACGGCAGCACAGUAAGAGCUUGCUCUUACGGGUGGCGAGUGGCGGACGGGUGAGGAAUACAUCGGAAUCUACUUUUUCGUGGGGGAUAACGUAGGGAAACUUACGCUAAUACCGCAUACGACCUACGGGUGAAAGCAGGGGAUCUUCGGACCUUGCGCGAUUGAAUGAGCCGAUGUCGGAUUAGCUAGUUGGCGGGGUAAAGGCCCACCAAGGCGACGAUCCGUAGCUGGUCUGAGAGGAUGAUCAGCCACACUGGAACUGAGACACGUUCCAGACUCCUAAGGGAGGAAGCAGUGGGGAAUAUUGGACAAUGGGCGCAAGCCUGAUCCAGCCAUACCGCGUGGGUGAAGAAGGCCUUCGGGUUGUAAAGCCCUUUUGUUGGGAAAGAAAAGCAGCAGGUUAAUACCCCGCUGUUCUGACGGUACCCAAAGAAUAAGCACCGGCUAACUUCGUG